GUUGAAGAGGUAAAAUAAAGCUAUUUAAAUGAACGAAUUAACCUUUGUCAAGUGAGAGCUCCAUGGAGAAGCUGUUGCGCACGCUGUUGUUGCGCACGCGAACCCAGGCAAAGAAGGGAGGGCAGAGCGAGCCAUGGUGAGCCAAUAAAAAGGCACCGGAGUCCUGCUAACCGUCGGCUUUGCUCGAGACAGUGUAAAACGGGACCAAUAUUUCUGUCGGACGCGUACUGUCUUCGAGUGUGCAAAGGACACACCAUCUCAUUGACUGCGCCUGUCCCUACAUAGGAAGACGAAGACAUGCUGUUGCUCGUAGGGAACGUUUCAGGACUGGUGGCCAGUAAGACCGGAGACAUAUGAGCUGGGGGACCAGGAUCAUUGAUAGCCACCUACCCCUGGAAGAGGUAGAUGAGCACCAUAGCUUGGAGAGGAGAAGACAGGAUGAAGGUGAGCCCGCUACAGGAUGAAGCUGAGCCCGCUACAGGAUGAAGCAAUGAGAGCUUAGGUAAGCUCCUCCACGACCUGUUCUGCAGCAACACAACUCCCCUGGACUACACCCCUGGACUACACCAGCCACGGAGUAACAGCAACAAGAGAUAGCCGUGGGAGAGUCAGAGUUCUGCUCCUGGAAUACAAACAAGUCCUGUCUCUAUAACACCCCUCCUGCAUUUGUAAUCCACCGACUCUGAUGACGAAGGGGGAAAAAAGUUUGCUUUCACCUCUGGCGAACAGUUUUGCCUGCAGUGCUGAAAAGGCGUUGUGUUUCCAGCUCAUUUGUUUGUUUAAUGAUGUCUCAACUGAACUAACACGUAGACCUAGUGCGCUGUUCAGGAAUACAUAGGUACCUUGUAAUUGAACAACAAGGCCCAGAGUUCCGGAGUGUUCAGAGUGUGUCCGAGAUGGAUACACACGAAGCCUAAGAGGAAGAUACACCUGUGAAGGCUGUGCAGAAGCUGACGGGGGGGUUUCCUCUGAUAGAGCCUCCUCAUUCUGCAAAC
ensembl:lncRNA